UACAGAGGUCCCAAGCGUUGUUCGGAUUCACUGGGCGUAAAGGGCUCGUAGGCGGCCAACUAAGUCGGACGUGAAAUCCCCAGGCUCAACCUGGGAACUGCGUCCGAUACUGGAUGGCUUGAAUCCGGGAGAGGGAUGCAGAAUUCCAGGUGUAGCGGUGAAAUGCGUAGAUAUCUGGAGGAAUACCGGUGGCGAAGGCGGCAUCCUGGACUGGCAUUGACGCUGAUGAGCGAAAGCCAGGGGAGCAAACGGG
rnacentral:rRNA from 1 species